rnacentral:rRNA from 1 species
AACGAACGCUGGCGGCAGGCCUAACACAUGCAAGUCGAACGCCCCGCAAGGGGAGUGGCAGACGGGUGAGUAACGCGUGGGAACCUUCCCUGUGGUACGGAAUAACUGACCGAAAGGUUAGCUAAUACCGUAUACGUCCGAGAGGAGAAAGAUUUAUCGCCAUAGGAUGGGCCCGCGUCGGAUUAGCUAGUUGGUGAGGUAAUGGCUCACCAAGGCGACGAUCCGUAGCUGGUCUGAGAGGAUGAUCAGCCACACUGGGACUGAGACACGGCCCAGACUCCUACGGGAGGCAGCAGUGGGGAAUAUUGGACAAUGGGCGCAAGCCUGAUCCAGCCAUGCCGCGUGAGUGAUGAAGGUCUUCGGAUUGUAAAACUCUUUCGCCGGGGAAGAUAAUGACGGUACCCGGAGAAGAAGCUCCGGCUAACUUCGUGCCAGCAGCCGCCGUAAGAC